UUUUAGAAGCCCAUAAGUCAUACUUGUUAAACUUUCUCAGUUAAAAUGUAACUCUAAGAACAAAGUCAUAUGAUAUGUUGCAGUCAAAUAAUCCUUCCAGAGCCUCUGACUGGAGAAAAGCUACCCCGAUCUGGCCGGCUCGCCAACCCACCGGGCUCCUGUCCCAGGAGAGGCAGGGCUGAGGGGCAGGUUCGCAGCCCGGGGCUCAGCUGUGCAGCCCGCAUGGGCGAUGGCUUCCCAGUGGACUUCAGCAAUGUCUCCCUGCUUUUGCCGGUGCGGUCAGGCGAAAAUUUCAGCUCCUCCUCUAGGAGGACUUCAGGCAAGAGGCUGAGCAGGGGAGGCAGCGAGGGGAGGCAGCGCAGAGGGUUUGGUGGUGGAGGAAGGUGCUGCUGCGGUCAGGGUGAAGGAGCUGAGGGGUGAGAAAACAGCAGGUUGCCAAAAGCGAAAGUGAAUUUGCUGGAGGGUUUGAAGAAAGGACAUCCUCAUUCUCAUUCACUGCCUUUUUAAGUGUUGAAUCAAUAUGGAAGUACAUUCAUGCCAGGAGCAAUACGUUUGCCAGUUUUGCUCUAUUUUAUAGGGUGAUUUUGCUUACACCACGCCCCAGAUGACUGUUUUGAAGUGCCAUCCCUUGUCCAGGGUCUGCUCUGAGCCCUUACAAAGACCAGGUUCCCAGUCACUGCUGGGAGGAUCAUUCUAAAUUUACCCUUGGCAGUAGCCAAGAGUGGGAUCUGGCUGAUGGCCGUGGUGCUCCAGCCUGCCUGUGCUGGCAGUCCCAGCCUGGGCCGCUGUGACCUGCUGCCGGCUUGGGAAGGCAGGGAGUCCCGGUGUCCCCAGGGCUGCCUUGGGCAGCCCCUGUGCCUGGAGCGUGCAUGGCCGGCAGGGUGCGAGGGACUGGAGCAGGCACAGAGGCAGUGUCCAAGCUGACUGAAAUGCAAAAUGAAAGCAACUGUGCAGCAUAAAUCAGAUGCUGGAAGUCCUUUGCAUGAUCUACACCCAGUGUCACCUCCACAGCUCCUGGACUCCAUGCUGAGGUGGCCAACAGGAUGUGAAGCUGCCCCAACCCACCACUUCAGACCUUGGAAGAACAAAUUUCAAACCAAGAAAUGGCCUGCAAACAUCCUGAGCCAGCCAGUGCUCUUUUAGAUGAGAGCUCACCACUGCCAAGGGCAUUCCAGUACACAGGACAUGGACUGUCUACUCUGAUGACUUCUGAGGGAGAACAGGGCUUCUUGCAAAGACCCUUACACUGCAAGGCGACUCCAACAGGGAUGAGCAUAUUGCCAUGGCAACCAAAAUACAGAAGCUGGACAAGGGUGUACAGUAGACAAGAGGAUGGAGGGAAGAUUUCCUUCUCGUUUUCCACACGUGGGCCGGCAUGGCACAGGUGCUGCAUGCAGGACACAAAGGCUGAGGCCAGCUUUGUGAGUGACCAUCAAUACUGGAGCACUGGUGGAAAGCACAGCUCAAAGGAGAGAGCCAGCACCAGCAUGGGGUUCCAGGAGAGAAGCACAUGCUCCUGCAGGGCAAGUUUCUUUGCCCAGGCUGAUGGGGUAGGUUGGGUCUCUCAUCUUGUUUUUUUUUGUUUGCAAUAUUAGAGUCAGUGAAAAGGGAAUCUUCCAGCACCUUUGGAAGCCUCUGCAGACCCUUCAUCACCAAGGCUUUGCCAGGAGGUCAAUAUGCUCUCAAAUGACUAAAAUCCAGGCUUGGGAUAUGGCUGGAGCAGCCCUGACCCUCCCCCUCCAGGAGCAGCUGCUACUGCACAUCAGGAGAGAGGAAGUUAGCGGGGAAACAUCGUGAAACUUCUGAAGGUGCUAAUUAAACAACUUUAAGUUAUAAACAUUUUUAAUUGGACUCAUUUUUGGUGUCACAUACUAUCUCUUGAUGAGACAAGAGCUAAAGCUAAAAUUAAAGCUGUUUUAAUCUCUCUUUCUCUGCUCCUCCUCUCUACCCUGGUUGUGUUUCUGGUUGCAAAGUAGAAAGAAAUCACUGAGGCUUCUGGGCUUUGCUGAAGAAUGCUAUUUUUAAGGUGUUAUAUUUGAUUUACUUUAAAUCUGACCAAAAAUUCCACCUUGGGACUAAACCUCCUUUAUCAAUGUUAUAGCUAACUUUCUGCUUUUGCAUGCAGAUUUUUAAGGAGGAAAAAAAAAUUGGGCUUGGAAGAGAUGCUAGCUCACCACCUUAAUGAUGACAGCAGGUAUACUGCAGCA